UUUUCCAGUAGACAGAAUAAAUGACCAAUGUGCUUAUCUUCAGGGUGCGGUUUGACUGUUCCCAGUUCAGUUCAACCGUGCCUUUUUCCAAUGAUAUCCAGCUGCAACACCAGAGUAGCUGUGACUAAAACUAGCCUCUGACUAAAACCAAUGCUAACCCCGUCUACUGGCCCAGGUUAAUCCCUACCACGUUUAUUUUUAUUUUAUUUAACCUUUAUUUAACUAGGCAAGUCAGUUAAGAACAAAUUCUUACUUACUGGCAAAAGGCCUUCUGCAGGGACUGGGGCUGGGAUUAAAAUAAAAAUAUAGGACAAAACACAUCACGACAAGAGAGACAGCACUACAUAAAGAGAGACCUAAGACGACAACAUAGCAUGGUAGCAACACAUGGUAGCAGCAUAAAACAUGGUAGAAACACAACAUGGUAGCAGCAAUAAAACAUGGUACAAACAUUAUUGGGCAACGACAACAGCACAAAGGACAAGAACGUAGAGACAACAAUACAUCACGCAAAGCAGCCACAACUCGUGUUUACCUGUUGCUGCUGACCAAGAUGACCGAUGAAGAGGAAUGAAAGGGAGACUCCAAGUUAGGCUGAAAAGACGGGAUACACGACCUCUUCCUAGUAUCCUGAUGGUUAAUGUCCAGUUGCUGGAAAAUAAACGUUGAACUCAGAGCAAGGCUUCAAUCGCGGAGGGACAUCAGGGAGUGCUGUGUGUGUUUUUACAGAGACAUGGCUUAUGGAUGAUACAGUCUACUCAGCUAUUCAACCAGACGGCUAUCCCAUUUUCCAAAUGGAUCGAACGGCGGCUUCUGGUAACAGUAAGCAGGGAGGGUUAUGUUUCCUCAUUAACAAUUCCUGGUGUACCGAAGUUGAAAACAUCUCGAGUUCCUGUUCACCCGACCUGGAGUUUCUGAUGCUAAACGCCGACCCUACUAUAUGCCGAGGGAAUUCACGUGUGUUAUCACAGCUGUGUAUAUACUGUCACAAGCAAACACCAAGGUAGCACUCAGCGAACUGAACAAGAUCAUCCUGUUCUGGAUGAAUGUGUGAUAACGCUCUCGGUAGCCGAUGUGAACAAAACCUUUCAACAGGUCAACAUUCACAAAGCCGCUGGUCCAGACGGAUUACCAGGACGUCUACUCAAAGCAUGUGUGGACCAAUUGUUAAGUGUCUUCACUGAAAUGUUCAACUUCUCCCUGACCGAGUCUGUAAUACUUACAUGUUUCAAGCAGACCACCAUAGUCCCUGUGCCCAAGGAAGUGAAGGUAACCUGCCUAAAUGAUUACUGCCCCGUGGCACUCACGUCGGUAGCCAUGAAGUGCUUUGAAAGGCUGGUCAUGGCUCACAUCAACAGCAUCCUCCCGGACCCCCUAGACCCACUCCAAUUCGCAUACCGCCCCAACAGAUCCACAGAUGACACAAUCUCAGUCGCACUCCACACUGCCCUCUCACCUAGAUAAAAGGAACACCUAUGUGAGAAUGCUAUUUAUUGACUACAGCUC
rnacentral:lncRNA from 1 species